rnacentral:lncRNA from 1 species
AGGGGAGGGAGAGGCAGCAGCUCCAUAUUAAUGGGUUCCUUAAAGAGCAGCCUGGCACAGGUGGGAAAGUGUCAGUACAUCUAAUUGUUGCUCAUAGGUAAACAGCUCCAGAUCUCUGAUGAACCUUUCUACCCUUUCCUGAAACUCUUCUAUUCCAAGACCAACUUUUUGAGAUGAUAGCACUGAUGUGCAAGCAAGCCACAAGUUCUACAAGGCUAUUGUGUCUGGAGCUAAGAUCCAGGUCUCAUCCCAAGGACUACUCAAGAAUCACAGUGGUGGGAAUUAAGCUCAGGGUGUUCCUUAUCCCAUCACAGCUGGAUGAGUUCUAGCUAUUUACCAAAUGGAAAGGACAAGCAGCUUAAGGAAUUCAGAGCUCCAACACUCCAAUAAGAAAAUUGCAUCUCUGUGCAUGUGCUGAAGCAGCAGGGGUGAGCUGGCCAUAGCAGUUAACCUUCACUCUACAUUCUGGAUCACAGUUAGGUGGGAGCAGAAAAUAACCACUCUCUUCUGAUUUUGCAGAGCACAUUCAAGUAUUCUGGUUGCAGUAUUCCUUCAGCCACUCAUCUCUAGAGAAUAUACCAUAGAAAUAGAGAAAUAUUUUUAUCUUUUACAUUUUAUGAGGCAUGAUGUGUGAGCCACUGUUUGAGGCAGAAUAAUGCUCCAAUGUACAUAUGGCCUGAAAAGAUGUAGCCAUGAAUACCUCUGUGUAUAAGAAGGGUUAUAGCACCUGGAUACAGCAAAAUUCUCCUACUGUUAGUGUUCCCUGGGCACACAGCCAAAAUACAUCAGCCAUGUGCUGAGUGAAUAUUGAAACAUUCCCAGUACAUCCCACAGCAUCACCAGUAAUCUCAUAUCUGUGCUGUGUCGUGACAGUAAGUUUUUCAGUAUAGCUCACCCGACCUAUAAACAUUUCUACCAACUGAGAACACAGGUGUUGCAAUGAAAUAUUUGACAACCUUUGCAGCAAAUAAGUUGAUACUCUAAUUUCUUAUAAAAAUCUAUGGAGUGUCAGAAGAAGUUUUGGGAUCAUUUAAAUUUUAAUGUGUUUUGAAAAAAUGGAGUCAUUUCAAGGCACUAGAGGGCUUUCGGGCUUAUUACAUUAGACUGCAAAGACUAAUCAUCAGCACGUAAAACUAUUGUUAAUUCAGAAGUUCAUAAAAAAAGAAGAAAAUUUAAGGUUAAAAAUAUCACUACUGCACUGGAUGACAUUGUUCCACUGAAAGUAGGUCUCGUUAAAGAAACCUGUUAUAUUUUUGAUGGGAUUUGUCUGGUUGAUAAAGAAAUUCACUAUGGUAUAACCUACUUUGAUUUCACUAGAUCUAAACUAGAUGACUCCCAGAUUGGAGCUGCUGCCAUAGAAAGGAACAGAAAGACUCAUCCUACAUCAAUUAAAAACUGUUUCAGUACGUCAAAAAGCAAGGCAAGAGUUGGGUAUGUUUUGAUAACAGUGGAGCUUUACCUCCAGACUGCCUGGAAAAUCAAAUAUGGUUGGAUUGGAGGAAGAUUGCUAGCACUGACUUUCAGCCACAUAUCCAUGGCAUUGCUCUGUGCCACUUCACAAAGUUACAGCUGGAAAAGUGUAAGAGCUGAUGUAGAUUACUGGAGAUGGAGAUCUUGAGGGCUGCUUUCAUUAGGAGAGGAAAUACGGCAUCUCAGCAUCGUGUUAAGAUCCCACACUUCUCAGUGAGGAAUGCCUUGUUUUGUGAUGGCUUAAACCAACUCUAGCACUAUGGAGAUUUAAUAGUCUUGUUUCUCAGAUGCCCUAUAGAUUUGCAGCAACAUGAUGUGUUACAAAAAAUGCAGAUCUUCAAAACAUGUUAUUAAUGAUAACAGUAUUUAAUGACAAACUAUCUGCUUAGCUGAAUGAACCUCUCCGCUGCCUCUCUGUUUGCAUAAUUUAGGUUUAUUUCUGAAUUCCUGUAAAAUGAUGCCUACUUAUGUAACAUGAAUGCUAUUACUCUCUUCACUCCAUCUUAAUCAGUAUCACAGGAAAAAAAAAAUGAAAAAGUUGAAAAGUAUAUUUCUUGAGACCAUCCACAGCCAAAAUGUUCUCUGAGGAAAUGUGUUUGCUUAAGCCUGGGUUCAGGAAAUUGGUAUCAUGUGAUACUGAAGUGACAAAACCAUCCUGAUUUGCUCAUUUUCCCUCAAGAUACUUUAAUUUAAAUGUCUGUUAUAUGUUUAAUAAAACACACUGCUGUUUUUGGCUGCAUCCCUUGAUUCCAUUUUCUUGCAGGAAAAAAAAAAAGAAAAAAAAGGAGCAAUUUUUUAAUAUCAUUUUAUCUUCUGGAUUCAUAACAG